rnacentral:rRNA from 1 species
CGUAAAGCGCAUGCAGGUGGUUUGUUAAGUUCAGAUGUGAAAGACCCGGGGCGUCAACCUCGGAAUUGCAUUUGAAACUAGGCAGACUAGAGUACUGUAGAGGGGGGUAGGAAGUUUCAGGUGUAGCGGUGAAAUAGCGUAGAGAUCUGAAGGAAUACCGGUGGCGAAGGCGGCCCCCUCGGACAGAUACUGACACUCAGAUGCGAAAGCGUGGGGAGCAAACAGGAUUAGAUACCCUGGUAG